rnacentral:rRNA from 1 species
AUGCUAGGAACCAACAAGAGAGCCACCGUAACAACCAACUGGUCUGAGUUCCGCCGCCUUGCAAAAAUCCAUGAAGGAGACAUUUGUGCCUUUCGUUUCAAGGUGUCAACUGAAGAACUACGGCAGGCAUCACCUGACCUCCAGGAUCCAUCGGACGCAAUCCUGGAGCAGCUCGAACUUCUGGCUCACCGCGACGUUCAGGAAGACCCGCAUCUUGCCAAGGAACUGCGGCGCCUCCUCCUUGCACCGGAACGACCCUCCACAGUUGCACUGCUCUGA